GAUCUUGUGGUGUAAUGGUUAUCACGUCUGACUCCAGAUCAGAAGUUCAUGGGCUCGAUUCCCAUUAAGGUCA
rnacentral:tRNA from 1 species